rnacentral:rRNA from 1 species
UGGUCAAGCUAUUAAGGGCUGCUGGUGGAUGCCUUGGUAUCAACAGGCGAUGAAGGACGCGAAACCCNGCGAUAGGCAUCGGUGAGCUGGAAGAAAGCGUAGACCCGGUGGAAUCCGAAUGGGGAAACCCGGUGAGAGUAAUANNUCUCAUCAUCCUUAACUGAAUACAUAGGUUAAGGAAGCAAGACCUGCCGAACUGAAACAUCUUAGUAGGCAGAGGAAAAGANAAUCAAUAAAGAGAUUCCCAAAGUAGCGGCGAGCGAAAUGGGAAAAGCCCAAANCCAGAGUCAUUGAUUCUGGGGUUGUAGGACCAAUCAAAAGAUCAGGAAAUCUUAGUCGAACACNNUUCUGGAAAGCUGGACGACAAAGGGUGAUAGUCCCGUAGACGAAAAGAGNNGACCUGGCAAGAUUGGCACCUGAGUAGAGCCGGACACGUGAAACCCGGUUCGAAGCAGGGAGGACCACCUCCCAAGGCUAAAUACUCGUUGAUAACCGAUAGCGAACCAGUACCGUGAGGGAAAGGUAAAAAGAACCCCUGNUUAGGGAGUGAAAUAGAACCUGAAACCAGCAGCUUACAAACGGUCGAAGGCCUAUGCCCUUUAUAAGGGAAUGGCUGACGGCGUGCCUUNUGCAUGAUGAGCCAGCGAGUUACGCUAUAUGGCAAGGUUAAAGGACAUACGUUCUGGAGCCGAAGUGAAAGCGAGCGUUAAAAGCGCGAAUCAGUCAUANNUGGCGUAGACACGAAACCACGUGAUCUAUCCAUGACCAGGUUGAAGCAAGGGUAACACCUUGUGGAGGACCGAACUAGUAACUGUUGAAAAAGUUUUGGAUGAGUUGUGGAUAGGGGUGAAAGGCCAAUCAAACGUGGAGAUAUCUUGUUCUCUUCGAAAUAACUUUAGGGUUAGCCUCGGACAAAUUCUUUCCAGGGGUAGAGCACUGAAUUCACGCGGGGACCUACCGGUCUACCAAAGGAAAUCAAACUCCGAAUACUGGAAAGCAGUCCGGGAGAUAGACAGUGGGGCUAAGCUUCAUUGUCAAAAGGGGAACAGCCCAGAUCGCCGAAUAAGGCCCCUAAUUCUAUGCUAAGUGAGUAAGGAAGUAAAGUUUCUAAAACAGUUGGGAUGUUGGCUUAGAGGCAGCCAUCAUUUAAAGAGUGCGUAACAGCUCACCAAUCGAGAAACUUUGCGCCGAUAAUAUCCGGGACUAAAGCAUAGAGCCGAAUUCGCGGGUGCAUAUUUUGAAUAUGCGNNCGGUAGGAGAGCGUAGUAUGCGCGCAGAAGAUGUACCGAAAGGAGCAUUGGAGCACAUACUAGUGAGAAUGCAUGGCAUGAGUAAACGAUAAAGGCAGUGAAAAUCUGCCUCGCCGAAAACCCAAGGUUUCCAGGGUAAAGCUCGUCUUCCCUGGGUUAGCCGGUCCCUAAGCUGAGGCUGAAAAGCGUAAGCGAUGGAAAGCAGGUUAAANNUAUUCCUGCGCCACCGAAGACUACAGUGAAGGAUUGACGAAGUAAGUAAAGCACGCGGACGAUCGGAAAUGUCCGUGACGCUACGAGGNNAAGGCUGAUAGGCAAAUCCGUCAGCAGGAUUCCAGAUAGCGGCCAAGGGGAGCCAAAAGUGAACCGAUGGUGUAGAGCGACACUUCCAAGAAAUAGAUUCUAACUGUCGAAGGUNGACCGUACCAAAACCGACACAGGUGGGUGGGAAGAAUAUUCUUAGGCGCGCGAGAGAACUCUCGUUAAGGAACUCGGCAAAUUAUCCCCGUAACUUCGGGAGAAGGGGAGCCAUGAGUCGUGACAUAUUUUCAUAUGAAGCGAAGCGUGGCCGCAGAGAAAUGGCCCAGGCGACUGUUUAACAAAAACACAGCACUAUGCAAAGACGUCUAAGUCGAAGUAUAUGGUGUGAUGCCUGCCCAAUGCCAAAAGGUCAAAAGGAGAAGUUAGCAGCAAUGCAACGCUUCGAAUUUAAGCCCUGGUGAAUGGCGGCCGUAACUAUAACGGUCCUAAGGUAGCGAAAUUCCUUGUCGGGUAAGUUCCGACCUGCACGAAUGGUAUAACGAUCUGGGCACUGUCUCAACGAGAGGCUCGGUGAACUUGUAGUAGCGGUGAAGAUGCCGUUUACCCGCAAUAAGACGGAAAGACCCCGUGAACCUUUACUGUACUCUGGUAUUGGCUCCUAACUUGUCAUGUGUAGGAUAACCAGGAGACUAUGAAGUCCCAUCGUCAGGUGGGAUGGAGUCAACGUUGAAAUACUGGUCUUGACAAGUCGGGAAUCUAACGUCCGCCCAUGAAGCUGGGGGACGGACAAUGCCAGACGGGCAGUUUUACUGGGGCGGUAUCCUCCUAAAGAGUAACGGAGGAGUCCAAAGCUUACCUCAUCGUGGUUGGCAAUCACGAGUAGAGCGUAAAGGUAUAAGGUAAGUUAACUGUGAGACCAACAAGUCGAACAGAUACGAAAGUAGGGCUUAGUGAUCCGGCGGUGGAAAGUGGAAUCGCCGUCGCUCAACGGAUAAAAGGUACUCCGGGGAUAACAGGCUUAUCGCCACCAAGAGUUCAUAUCGACGUGGCGGUUUGGCACCUCGAUGUCGACUCAUCGCAUCCUGGGGCUGAAGAAGGUCCCAAGGGUUUGGCUGUUCGCCAAUUAAAGCGGUACGCGAGUUGGGUUCAAAACGUCGUGAGACAGUUUGGUCCCUAUCUGUUGUGGGCGCAGGAUACUUGAGAGGAGUUGCUUCUAGUACGAGAGGACCGAAGUGAACGAACCAAUGGUGUGCCGGUUGUACUGCCAAGUGCAUAGCCGGGUAGCUAUGUUCGGAAAGGAUAAGCGUUGAAAGCAUCUAAACGCCAAGCCUCCCUCAAGAUAAGGUAUCCCAAUUAGACACCAUGAAGACGACAUGGUAGAUAGGUUGGGUGUGUAAGCACAGUAAUGUGUUGAGCUAACCAAUACUAAUAGGUCGAUUGGCUUGACCAA